UGAUAAUUAGUUUAGACAAAAAUAAAUGAUUUCGACUCAUUAGACUAUGGAUUUAACCCAUAAUUAUCAA
rnacentral:tRNA from 1 species